GCACACAGCAGACCUAGAACUGCAGGGACACAGGGCGUCUCUAUUCCUCCAACCGCGGGGACAUGGGGUGUCUAUGUUCACUUUUGCUAUGAGCUGCAGCCAGCUCUUAGGAGCAGCCGGACUAAUUUACUGCCUGGAGACAGGUCAUGGCCCCACUCUCCACGUUCGUGCGCUUCCUUGGAUUUUUGACGUUCCCAGGUUGCUGCCCCCGCGGUGUGCAUCACCCCCUCCCCCUCCUCGGGCCCCGCCGCAGCACUGGGAACCCGGGUAAAGCCCACUGGCGUCAAUCGGCAGUCACUAAGUCCCGCCGUCCUUGUCCUCAUUCUACCCUGCCUAAUAUGACCCUGGAUUCUGGAACUUCAGUUUCCCGUGGCCUCACUCGGAAUUCCCUGAGCCCUCCCCGCGGUCCUGGUCUCCGCUCCUUCGUGUCCGCGCCCUGGAGCCCUCACCUGAGCAUCUAGCGAGGGGACAGAGACCCCUGGCGGCCGAAAAGGAAAAACCAGAGCCGCAGAGAAGUUUGUGAAAAUUAAUAAAGGGAAACUUUCCUGAAAUGGAGUGCAGCAGCUCUCAAGACUUACCACUAGACUCAAGGGUUGUCAGUUACAGAUCCUCAACAGAAGCAUCAACAGGAAAGAAUCAUCAAUUGUAGGCCCCAACAGAGAAAGCUGGGCAUUGUAUCUCCUACAAGAAACUGACCACCCAGCUACUCCACCAAUGAGAAGCCUUCAUCACCCUGAACACUUGUCUUUCUCCAGUGAUCUCCUUCAAAACAACCCCUCCCAGCUUCCUCCUUCUCCAUAUGAUAAUGUUUCUCUCCUUUGUUGGACUAGCCUAUGGUUGUUGCCCCAGCUUGAAUUGCAGUAUUCUGGUAUUCCCUAAUAAACCCAUUUUUGCUGGGAACAUGAAA